rnacentral:rRNA from 1 species
GACGAACGCUGGCGGCGUGCUUAACACAUGCAAGUCGAACGGAAAGGCCCUGCUUUUGUGGGGUGCUCGAGUGGCGAACGGGUGAGUAACACGUGAGUAACCUGCCCUUGACUUUGGGAUAACUUCAGGAAACUGGGGCUAAUACCGGAUAGGAGCUCCUGCUGCAUGGUGGGGGUUGGAAAGUUUCGGCGGUUGGGGAUGGACUCGCGGCUUAUCAGCUUGUUGGUGGGGUAGUGGCUUACCAAGGCUUUGACGGGUAGCCGGCCUGAGAGGGUGACCGGCCACAUUGGGACUGAGAUACGGCCCAGACUCCUAAGGGAGGCAGCAGUGGGGAAUAUUGCACAAUGGGCGGAAGCCUGAUGCAGCAACGCCGCGGGCGGGAUGACGGCCUUCGGGGUGGAAACCGCUUUCGCCUGGGAAGAAGCGGGAGUGAAGGUAAUGGGUAAAGAAGCACCGGCUAACUACGUG